rnacentral:tRNA from 1 species
AUGGAAGAUGGCUCAGCAGUUAGAAGUGCUGGGUUGCUCUUCCAGAGGUCCUGAGUUCAAUUCCCAGCAACCAUA